UGAGGAAUAUUGGUCAAUGGCCGGGAGGCUGAACCAGCCAAGUCGCGUGAGGGAAGACGGCCCUACGGGUUGUAAACCUCUUUUGUCAGGGAGCAAGGUGCAGGUCGGGACCUGCUGUGAGAGUACCUGAAGAAAAAGCAUCGGCUAACUCCGUGCCAGCAGCCGCGGUAAUACGGAGGAUGCGAGCGUUAUCCGGAUUUAUUGGGUUUAAAGGGUGCGCAGGCGGAGGCACAAGUCAGCGGUAAAAUCGCGGGGCUCAACCCCGCUCCGCCGUUGAAACUGUGUCCCUUGAGUGCGCGAAGGGUAGGCGGAAUGCGUGGUGUAGCGGUGAAAUGCAUAGAUAUCACGCAGAACUCCGAUCGCGAAGGCAGCCUACCGGCGCGCAACUGACGCUCAUGCACGAAAGCGUGGGUAUCGAACAGG
rnacentral:rRNA from 1 species